GAGAGGGUUAAUAUUCCCGUACUUGGUGUUAAUGCGAAGGGGGGACGGAGAAGGCUAUGUUGGCCGGGCGACGGUUGUCCCGGUUUAAGCGUGUAGGUGUGUGUUCCAGGUAAAUCCGGUUCACUUUAACACUGAGGCGUGACGACGAGGCACUACGGUGCUGAAGCAACAAAUGCCCUGCUUCCAGGAAAAGCCUCUAAGCAUCAGGUAACAUCAAAUCGUACCCCAAACCGACACAGGUGGUCAGGUAGAGAAUACCAAGGCGCUUGAGAGAACUCGGGUGAAGGAACUAGGCAAAAUGGUGCCGUAACUUCGGGAGAAGGCACGCUGACACGUAGGUGAAGUGAUUUACUCAUGGAGCUGAAGUCAGUCGAAGAUACCAGCUGGCUGCAACUGUUUAUUAAAAACACAGCACUGUGCAAACACGAAAGUGGACGUAUACGGUGUGACGCCUGCCCGGUGCCGGAAGGUUAAUUGAUGGGGUCAGCGCAAGCGAAGCUCCUGAUCGAAG
rnacentral:rRNA from 1 species